UACAGAGGUCCCAAGCGUUGUUCGGAUUCACUGGGCGUAAAGGGUGCGUAGGUGGUUGGGUAAGUUUGAUGUGAAAUCUCUGAGCUCAACUCAGAAACUGCAUUGAAUACUAUCCGGCUAGAGAAUCGGAGGGGGGACUGGAAUACUUGGUGUAGCAGUGAAAUGCGUAGAUAUCAAGUGGAACACCAGUGGCGAAGGCGAGUCCCUGGACGAUUUCUGACACUGAGGCACGAAAGCUAGGGGAGCAAACAGG
rnacentral:rRNA from 1 species